CUCUACGGCCAUACCACUCUGACCGUGCCUGAUCUCCUCUGAUUUCGGAAGCUAAGCAGGGUCGGGCCUGGUUAGUUACUUGGGUGGGAGAUACACACAGCUUAAGCUCUGGCCACUUUUAAAU
ensembl:rRNA nuclear encoded rRNA 5S 96